AGUGAACGCUGGCGGUAGGCCUAACACAUGCAAGUCGAACGGCAGCACAGUAAGAGCUUGCUCUUACGGGUGGCGAGUGGCGGACGGGUGAGGAGUACAUCGGAAUCUACUUUUUCGUGGGGGAUAACGUAGGGAAACUUACGCUAAUACCGCAUACGACCUACGGGUGAAAGCAGGGGAUCUUCGGACCUUGCGCGAUUGAAUGAGCCGAUGUCGGAUUAGCUAGUUGGCGGGGUAAAGGCCCACCAAGGCGACGAUCCGUAGCUGGUCUGAGAGGAUGAUCAGCCACACUGGAACUGAGACACGGUCCAGACUCCUACGGGAGGCAGCAGUGGGGAAUAUUGGACAAUGGGCGAAAGCCUGAUCCAGCCAUACCGCGUGGGUGAAGAAGGCCUUCGGGUUGUAAAGCCCUUUUGUUGGGAAAGAAAAGCAGCAGGUUAAUACCCCGCUGUUCUGACGGUACCCAAAGAAUAAGCACCGGCUAACUUCGUG
rnacentral:rRNA from 1 species